UAUUUUUCUUUCGAAGAAACUAUCUGAAGUCGUAUUAGCUGUCCACCCCACUCUUACUAUUUCAGGCUUGCAACGUAGGAGUGGAGUGGACAGCUAUUAUGGCUUCAGCUAUCUUCUUUCGAAAAAUUACGUAUAGAAAUAGUGUUAGAUAUAAUUUGGUUCAGUUGUUAGAAUUACUAAAUUACACAAAGAUCCAGUAAUUAAGAAUAAUAUAAUACAAACGUCUACAAUACGAGACUUUUCUUGUCAAAUUACGCAGGCAUACAGAUGGAUAAUAGAUUCACGAGAUAUGGAACAUAAGGAAAGACUCAGCAAAUUACGAGAUUUUUAUUCGGUAUACCGUUGUCAUACAAUUUUCAACUGCACAAAAACAUGUCCAAAGGGUUUGAAUCCUGGCAGAGCGAUAGCUCAAAUAAAACGCCUGUUGGCGGGACUUACUAAAAAGGAACGACCAGAUAUGGAAACUCCAAUUCCACAUCCCUGUAAUGGCGAGGAUAUAUACCAGUGCAGGGAGGAAUAACUACUCGAAAGAACAAGAGAUGUAAUAAACAUAAUAUUAUUCUUUAAACAAUUUUGUGAUUGUAUAUACACCAGGUUUUUUUUUGCAUUACAAAGUCUUAUUUACUCUAAA